ACAUGGUCCUCCAUUUUGUAAUUUGGGGAGUGGGGAAGAUGGCAGGCUAGUGAAAUUCAGGAGUCAAGAAACAUGAUGUGACCAGUUACAUAUCACAAAAAAAGAAGGAUAAGAAGGAAGAGGAGGAAGAAGAAGAGAAAAGGAAAAGAAGAAAAAGAAAAGAUGAUGGGAAUAGCAGACUCCCAGGUCUUUAGAAAUGGUUUCAUCAUCUUUGGGAAGUACAGAUUGUGGUCGCAGACCCCAGAUAUUUCACACCAACAAAAGCCAUCUGUCUGCUGCAUCUACAAACCAACCUCUACUUCCUGCCUUUGGUAUAGGCUAUCAGCUCUUUAAUAAGCCAAUCAGAAUGUUAGAGAGGGAGUGUUUACAAGAUGUAGCCAUAUGAAUAAUAAUACCAAAGUCCAGUCUACACUCAACUCUGCAGGCAUAGAAACCAGCAUUUGAAUAAUACGAAGACAACAUUUACUCUGUGCUUAAUAAUAUUAUCCCAACAUGUGGGUGGGGCUUUGUGAUGAAGUAAUGACAGAAGGAGGCUCACAUGUGGGCAGUGGGCUAGUUUCUGAUAGUGAAAGGGCAGGAAACACAGGGAAGGACAGGAGGAGGUUCUCAAGGAAUGACAGACAGAGUAAGGCAGGUACUUACCUUGGUGACACAGACAGAUCCUAGAAUGCGUUCUCAGAGUGUGUGAAGGGAGAAGAAGUGGUCAGAUCUGUGAAAGGAAGAAGAGAGACUAUAGACAGCAGGAGACAUCCAAACCAAGGACUCUUCCAGAUCACUGUGAAAACUGAUUCAGCCGGGUUUCCAGCUACCACGCUGAGACGGAGCCUCCUCCUGGAGGCACGCAGGUCCUGGACCUACCCAGGAGAGCUGACCACGCUGCACUUGCCUGUGACCCACUAUCGAACUUCAUGUUGCACUCAGGGAAGGAAGCCUCUAAGGAUCCGAAUUCAAGCUGACUCUCCUGAGCCAUGCUCCGGGCUCAGGCCUAUGAACACAACCAUUCCCAUGUUAACCUUCAUGCUGAGAAGCACAGCUAUGGAGGACAGAGCUCUAAGGUGAGCCGGCAUUGACUUUCAUGUCCCCUUAUAUAGUAUUACCUCCCCUUAACCAUGUGCUGGCCUGCUGAGAAUGCCAAAUGGCACUAGUAUGAAUAGAGUAUGGUUUUCGGUAACAAUGAA
rnacentral:lncRNA from 1 species